UACGAAGGGGGCUAGCGUUGCUCGGAAUCACUGGGCGUAAAGCGCACGUAGGCGGACUCUUAAGUCGGUGGUGAAAGUCCUGGAGCUCAACUCCAGAACUGCCUCCGAUACUGCGAGUCUCCGAGUCCGGGAGAGGUGAGUGGAACUGCGAGUGUAGAGGUGAAAUUCGUAGAUAUUCGCAAGAACACCAGUGGCGAAGGCGGCUCACUGGCCCGGUACUGACGCUGGAGGUGCGAAAGCGUGGGGAGCGAACAGGAUAGAACCCAGUAACCG
rnacentral:rRNA from 1 species